rnacentral:rRNA from 1 species
AGCCAUCCACAAUAUUAGAGGCCCGGCCUGCCCAGUGACACAUGUUUAACGGCCGCGGUACCCUAACCGUGCAAAGGUAGCAUAAUCACUUGUUCCUUAUAUAGGGACCUGUAUGAAUGGCUCCACGAGGGUUCAGCUGUCUCUUACUUUUAUCCAGUGAAAUUGACCUGCCCGUGAAGAGGCGGGCAUAACACAGCAAGACGAAAAGACCCUAUGGAGCUUUAAUUUAUUAAUGCAAACAAUACCUAACAAACCCACAGGUCCUAAACUACCAAACCUGCGUUAAAAAUUUCGGUUGGGGCGACCUCGGAGCAAAACCCAACCUCCGAGCAUUACAUGCUAAGACUUCACCAGUCAAAGCGAACUACUAUACUCAAUUGAUCCAAUAACUUGACCAACGGAACAUGUUACCCUAAGGAUAACAGCGCAGUCCUAUUCGAGAGUCCAUAUCAACAAUAGGGUUUACGACCUCGAUGUUGGAUCAGGACAUCCCGAUGGUGCACCCGCUAUUAAAGGUUCGUUUGUUCUCCGAUUAAAGUCCUACGUGAUC